rnacentral:rRNA from 1 species
CAUCUAGCGACCUCCACACCACCCUGACCAUCUAGCGACCUCCACAACAGUUGGAAACGACUGCUAAUACCGCAUACGAUCCAACCUCGGCAUCGAGGAUGGAUGAAAGGUGGCCUCUAUUUAUAAGCUAUCACUGAAGGAGGGGAUUGCGUCUGAUUAGCUAGUUGGAGGGGUAACGGCCCACCAAGGCAAUGAUCAGUAGCCGGUCUGAGAGGAUGAACGGCCACAUUGGGACUGAGACACGGCCCANACUCCUACGGGAGGCAGCAGUGGGGAAUCUUNCGCAAUGGNCGAAAGNCUGACGNAGCNANGCCGCGUGAGUGAUGACGGCCUUCGGGUUGUAAAGCUCUGUUAAUCGGGACGAAAGGUCCUCUUGCGAAUAGUUAGAGGAAUUGACGGUACCGGAAUAGAAAGCCACGGCUAACUACGUGCCAGCAGCCGCGGUAAUACGUAGGUGGCAAGCGUUGUCCGGAAUUAUUGGGCGUAAAGCGCGCGCAGGCGGAUCAGUCAGUCUGUCUUAAAAGUUCGGGGCUUAACCCCGUGAUGGGAUGGAAACUGCUGAUCUAGAGUAUCGGAGAGGAAAGUGGAAUUCCUAGUGUAGCGGUGAAAUGCGUAGAUAUUAGGAAGAACACCAGUGGCGAAGGCGACUUUCUGGACGAAAACUGACGCUGAGGCGCGAAAGCCAGGGGAGCGAACGGGAUUAGAUACCCCGGUAGUCCUGGCCGUAAACGAUGGGUACUAGGUGUAGGAGGUAUCGACCCCUUCUGUGCCGGAGUUAACGCAAUAAGUACCCCGCCUGGGGAGUACGNCCGCAAGGNUNAAACUCAAAGGAAUUGACGGGGGCCCGCACAAGCGGCGGAGCAUGUGGAUUAAUUCGAUGCAACGCGAAGAACCUUACCUGGGCUUGACAUACANCAGAUUGGGCUAGAGAUAGUUCGUCCCUUUGUGGUUGGUGUACAGGUGGUGCAUGGUUGUCGUCAGCUCGUGUCGUGAGAUGUUGGGUUAAGUCCCGCAACGAGCGCAACC